GGCUGUGGGUCCAGCCUGGCCUUGAACUCACAGCGAUCCUCCUGCCUCUGCCUCCCGAGUGCUGGGAUUAAAGGCAUGCGCCACCACUGCCCAGCUAUGCAUAAUCUUUUUUAAAAUCCCACAUGAAUACAGUUUAAUUUAUCUGAGGCUUCUUUUAUCUUUUACAUAUCAACAUUUAACUUCCAAAAAAUAUAAAAUUCCUAAAUUAUUUUUAAAUCUUCAUCUUUAACAGUCUUACUUGAUUUAAAAUCAUGAGAAUCACAACACAAAACUGUAUACUAACCUAGUUAGCAUCAAUCCAAUGAAGCAAUUCAUUAGAGUAUACAGAAAGGCUAAUUCCAGUGAACUACUCACUGGAGCCUUUAAAUAUGUACAUUGUACAAAGACUUUAUUUGAAUUCCUUAAUCUCUGUCAAAGUCUGCCUAUCUACACUAGAUGUUUGGAAAAUACUCAUUUGAAUAUUUCCAAAGAGGCAAGGCUUUGAGCAUGUGACUGACUAGCUAGCUAUAUUAAGCAGCACGCAGUGAAUGGAAAGAAAAUCCCUUUCAGAAUCGUUCUCCAGGACACUAGAGAAGGGCUGAAUUUAAAAAAAUCUUCAAAAAUACUCCACCAAAUCAAAAGCAAAGGAAGAUGAUGAUCAAGCAUUUAUUCACCAUCAGCCUGCUCCUCAUGUAUGCUCAUAUUAUGGAAAUAACAACAUCAAGUUCUACAGAAAACUCAAGUCUGACGACCUUAGUUUCCACCAUGAGUUCACAGGCCACAACAAGCCUAAGUACUGCAACUACAACACAGCUUGGAAGCAGCCCCAAACCUGUGAUAAAGCCUACAGCGCAGAUCUCCAAGACCACCUGGCAAGGAAACAUGUCUUCAAGCUCCUAUAUAAAUACUGCAAAGACUGUAGCAGGUGGUGGCACAGCACUCAAGCCAAUAUCCAGCAUUUACUCUCUUUGUUUGUGGAGUGUUCUUACUCUUUUGUGCAUACUCAAGCAGAAGUGAGCGCAAUACCUGCUCACUUCAGUCCCUCAUAAUGAUAAGCACACUAAAAAAAUACAAUUUAUUGUAAUUUACUAAAGAAAUUAUCAUUAUUCUAGUGUGAUCUGGGUUUCAGUAAGUUUUAAUUGUAUAAAUUUAAACACUACAUUAAUAUUAUAGUUUCCUUUCUAUAAGUGUAGUGCCCUAUUAAAUGCCAAAAUAAGCAAAACAUUACAUUUGUGUUUUAAAUGUGGGAAAAAUCAGAACUCAAAUGUUUAUAUUAAAGGUACAAGAAGAAAUAACAUAAGGAGGCAAUUAACCAAAGGGGGAAGGAGAUAGUACGACAUAAAGAGUGGUAUGGGAGAAGCUGUUUUGAAUUUUAUUAUUUUUAAUUAAAUAGAUUGAAAAUACUGGUAUGGUUUAAAGAACAGUUUUUUAUAAAACAUACUCAUCAGUGGAAUGUUAUUUUCAUGGGAGUGUGAUAGCAAUAGGUCAUCCCAGUACAGUUUAAAAGCAGAAUACUGCUGAUCCAAUGAUAAGAGUACAUUUUGAAUAAAUCUUGAUUUGUGUUUCAAAA